AGAGCGAACGCUGGCGGCAGGCCUAAUACAUGCAAGUCGAACGGAUCCUUCGGGAUUAGUGGCGGACGGGUGAGUAACACGUGGGAACGUGCCCUUUGGUUCGGAACAACUCAGGGAAACUUGAGCUAAUACCGAAUGUGCCCUUCGGGGAAAGAUUUAUCGCCAUUGGAGCGGCCCGCGUCUGAUUAGCUAGUUGGUGGGGUAAAGGCCCACCAAGGCGACGAUCAGUAGCUGGUCUGAGAGGAUGAUCAGCCACACUGGGACUGAGACACGGCCCAGACUCCUACGGGAGGCAGCAGUAGGGAAUCUUGCGCAAUGGGCGAAAGCCUGACGCAGCCAUGCCGCGUGAAUGAUGAAGGUCUUAGGAUUGUAAAAUUCUUUCAGUCGGGGACGAUAAUGACGGUACCCGCAGAAGAAGCCCCGGCUAACUCGUGCCAGCAGCCGC
rnacentral:rRNA from 1 species